GACAGAGGGGGCAAGCGUUGCUCGGAAUCACUGGGCGUAAAGGGCGCGUAGGCGGGAUGGCAAGUCGGUCGUGAAAUCCUUCGGCUCAACCGAAGAACGUCGGCCGAUACUGCCGUUCUUGAGGGAUGCAGAGGAGAUUGGAAUUCCCGGUGUAGCGGUGAAAUGUGUAGAGAUCGGGAGGAACACCGGUGGCGAAGGCGGGAUCCUGGGCCAGUACUGACGCUGAGGAGCGAAAGCGUGGGGAGCAAACAGG
rnacentral:rRNA from 1 species